CGGGCACUGAAGAAAGGAACUGGAAAA
rnacentral:piRNA from 1 species